UUCCGGUUGAUCCUGCCGGACCUGACUGCUAUCGGAUUGAUACUAAGCCAUGCGAGUCAUUGUAGCAAUACAAGGCAGACGGCUCAGUAACGCGUAGUCAACCUACCCUAUGGACGGGGAUAACCUCGGGAAACUGAGAAUAAUACCCGAUAGAACAUUAUACCUGGAAUGGUUUAUGUUUCAAAUAAUUUAUUGCCGUAGGAUGGGACUGCGGCCUAUCAGUUUGUUGGUGAGGUAAUGGCCCACCAAGACUAUUACAGGUACGGGCUCUGAGAGGAGUAGCCCGGAGAUGGGUACUGAGACACGGACCCAGGCCCUAUGGGGCGCAGCAGGCGAGAAAACUUUGCAAUGUGCGCAAGCACGACAAGGUUAAUCCGAGUGGUUUCUGCUAAAGGAACCUUUUGUUAGUCAUAGAACCACUAAUGAAUAAGGGGUGGGCAAGUUCUGGUGUCAGCCGCCGCGGUAAAACCAGCACCUCAAGUGGUCAGGAUGAUUAUUGGGCCUAAAGCAUCCGUAGCCGGCUUUGUAAGUUUUCGGUUAAAUCCAUACGCUCAACGUAUGGGCUGCCGGGAAUACUGCAAGGCUAGGGAGUGGGAGAGGUAGACGGUACUCGGUAGGAAGGGGUAAAAUCCUUUGAUCUAUUGAUGACCACCUGUGGCGAAGGCGGUCUACCAGAACACGUCCGACGGUGAGGGAUGAAAGCUGGGGGAGCAAACCGGAUUAGAUACCCGGGUAGUCCCAGCUGUAAACUAUGCAAACUCGGUGAUGCAUUGGCUUGAUGCCAAUGCAGUGCCGCAGGGAAGCCGUUAAGUUUGCCGCCUGGGAAGUACGUACGCAAGUAUGAAACUUAAAGGAAUUGGCGGGGGAGCACCACAGGGUGAAGCCUGCGUCAUUGCUCACGCCGGU
rnacentral:rRNA from 1 species